rnacentral:lncRNA from 13 species
AUCCUGACUCUGCCAUCAGCAUGAUGCAACAUGUUUUUAGCUGAUAGGAUUGGGACCCUGUGUGGUCAUCUGCUGCAAUUGAGUACCACAGUAUGAGUCAUAAUACCCAUAAAGCCUAGCGGUAAAACCCAGAAGUGGUUCCAAUCAUUUUUUCGUUGGUGAUUUUAGAACUACUUCAUAUAAGGUCAGUGUUUCGUGUUUACCCUGGCAUGACGUUUUGAUAUCCAUGCAAAUCUCUUUCGGACCAGGUAACGUUUAUCAAUAUAUUUGCCUGUAAUUACCCCACAAAUUGAAAUGCUAAUUAGCCUCCAAUGUGGCUAGCAUACAGAACUACACAUCUUGACGCAAGCUUUGACAUCAUCUCUCAAUGCAAACUCUUCGACAAGUAGCAAGUAUCCUACGAACUAGCUAACCUUAGGGUCUCUCUGUCGAUCGGAAGCAAGGAUGGUUCUGUGCUAUGUACCGGAUUGUAACCACUACUCCGAUAAGCACACGUGCAUUUUAUCGUUUUCCAAGCUCUGUAAGCGAGAGGUGUCGCUGGAGCCAUGUGAUAAGGUCCCUUGCACCUUGCACCAUGCACUUGACCUCCACUACUGCUGUGAUGCCCACCAGACCAUCCACUGAGGCACCCAGGAUCCCAGACCCUGUGACCUAAAGACCUGACUCCUGCAUAUCCAUCCCUGUAGCCAUUUUGAAUUCCUUGAUGUCCUCCUCUUCGUUAUCUGAGCCCCACUUUACAGACAACACCCCAUCCAAUGACUAUGAACACCUUGAAAUGCACUAGAUGUAAGAAAUGUGCCAUAUAAAUAAAGUUUGAUUUGAUUGAUGACAUUACAGCUCUAGAAAUUUUAAUAAACUGUAAUUUUGUGCAUUUUUUCCAUAAACUUUUAAUUGAUAACUUGGGAUUUUAUCACUUGACAUAUCAAUCAUAUAGUGGGAUCCUAUAAAUCAAGACGGUGUGAAUGCAUGUACCCCUCGAAUUAAUACAGUUGAAGUCAGAAGUUUACAUACACCUUAGCCAAAUGCAUUUAAACUCAGUUUUUCACAAUUUCUGACAUUUAAUCCCAGUAAAAAUGCCCUGUCUUAUGUCAGUUAGGAUCACCGCUUUAUUUUAAGAAUGUGAAAUGUCAGAAUAAUAGUAGAGAGAAUGAUUUAUUUCAGCUUUUAUUACUUUCAUCACAUUCCCAGUGGGUCAGACGUUUACAUACACAUUAGUAUUUGGUAGCAUUGCCUUUAAAUUGUUUAACUUGGGUCAAACGUUUCGGGUAGCCUUCCACAACCUUCCCACAAUACGUUGGGUGAAUUUUGGCCCAUUCCUCCUGACAGAGCUGGUGUAACUGAGUCAGGUUUGUAGGCCUCCUUGCUCGCACACGCUUUUUCAGUUCUGCCCACAGAUUUUCUAUAGGCUUGAGAUCAGGGCUUUGUGAUGGCCACUCCAAUACCUUGACUCUGUUGUCCUUAAGCCAUUUUGACACAACUUUGGAAGUAUGCUUGGUGUCAUUGUCCAUUUGGAAGACCCAUUUGCGACCAAGCUUUAAC